CCUACGGGAGGCAGCAGUGAGGAAUAUUGGUCAAUGGCCGGAAGGCUGAACCAGCCAAGCCGCGUGAAGGACGAAGGUGCCAAGCAUUGUAAACUUCUUUUGUCAAGGGACAAAAUCAGGCUCGAGAGCCUGACCGAGGGGACUUGAAGAAAAAGCAUCGGCUAACUCCGUGCCAGCAGCCGCGGUAAUACGGAGGAUGCGAGCGUUAUCCGGGUUUAUUGGGUUUAAAGGGUGCGUAGGCGGACUGUUAAGUCAGCGGUAAAAGCCCGGGGCUCAACCCCGGCGCGCCGUUGAAACUGGGGGUCUUGAGAUGUCGAGAGGUAUGCGGAAUGCGCAGUGUAGCGGUGAAAUGCUUAGAUAUUGCGCAGAACUCCGAUUGCGAAGGCAGCAUACCGGCGGCGAUCUGACGCUGAGGCACGAAAGCGUGGGUAUCGAACAGGAUUAGAUACCCUAGUAGUC
rnacentral:rRNA from 1 species